UACGUAGGGGGCAAGCGUUGUCCGGAAUCAUUGGGCGUAAAGAGCGUGUAGGCGGCUCGGUAAGUCCGCUGUGAAAGUCCAGGGCUCAACCCUGGAAAGCCGGUGGAAACUGUCGAGCUCGAGUCCGGAAGAGGCGAGUGGAAUUCCUGGUGUAGCGGUGAAAUGCGCAGAUAUCAGGAAGAACACCCGUGGCGAAGGCGGCUCUCUGGGACGGUACUGACGCUGAGACGCGAAAGCGUGGGGAGCUAACAGG
rnacentral:rRNA from 1 species